UACGGAGGUGGCAAGCGUUGUUCGGAAUUACUGGGCGUAAAGCGCGCGUAGGCGGUUUUUCAAGUUAGGCGUGAAAGCCCUGGGCUCAACCCGGGAAUUGCGCUUGAUACUGGAUGACUUGAGGCCGGGAGAGGGUAGUGGAAUUCCCAGUGUAGAGGUGAAAUUCGUAGAUGUUGGGAAGAACACCAGUGGCGAAGGCUGCUACCUGGACCGGUUCUGACGCUGAUGCGCGAAAGCGUGGGGAGCAAACAGG
rnacentral:rRNA from 1 species